rnacentral:rRNA from 1 species
UACGAACUGUGCGAACGUUAUUCGGAAUCACUGGGCUUACAGGGUGCGUAGGCGGCUUGUUAAGUAGGGUGUGAAAGCCCCCGGCUCAACCGGGGAAUUGCGCCCUAAACUGGCGAGCUGGAGUGAGAUAGGGGUGUGUGGAACUUCCGGUGGAGCGGUGAAAUGUGUUGAUAUCGGAAGGAACGCCGGUGGCGAAAGCGACACACUGGGUCUUGACUGACGCUGAGGCACGAAAGCCAGGGGAGCGAACGGGAUUAGAAACCCUCGUAGUCC